CCAAUAGCGUAUAUUAAAGUUGUUGCAGUUAAAAAGCUCGUAGUUGAAUUUUGGAUUCUUCCAAUUGGUCCAUCUUUUAGAUGAGUACUGGUUGUGUGGGGUCUAUCCGCCUGGUGAUACGUAAUGUCCUUUAUUGGGUGUUACGGGUAGUCAGGACCUUUACCUUGAAAAAAUUAGAGUGUUUAAAGCAGGCUUAUGCCGGAAUACAUUAGCAUGGAAUAAUAGAAUAGGACGAAGUUGUUUUAUUUUGUUGGUUUCUAGGACAACCGUAAUGAUUAAUAGGGAUAGUUGGGAGCAUUAGUAUUCAAUUGUCAGAGGUGAAAUUCUUGGAUUUAUUGAAUACUAACUACUGCGAAAGCAUUUGCCAAGGAUGUUUUCAUUAAUCAAGAACGAAAGUUAGGGGAUCGAAGACGAUCAGAUACCGUCGUAGUCUUAACCAUAAACUAUGCCGACUAGGGAUCGGGCGAUGUUGUUUCCAUGACUCGCUCGGCACCUUAUG
rnacentral:rRNA from 1 species